GACAGAGGUCCCGAGCGUUAGGCGGAAUCACUGGGCUUAAAGCGUGUGUAGGCGGAUCGUUAAGUGCCUUGUGAAAUCCCACGGCUCACCCGUGGAACUGCUUGGUAUACUGGUUGUCUUGAGCCUUCUAGGGGCGAGUGGAACAAAUGGUGGAGCGGUGAAAUGCGUAGAUAUCAUUUGGAACGCCAAUGGUGAAAACAACUCGCUGGGGAAGUGCUGACGCUGAGACACGAAAGCCAGGGGAGCGAACGGG
rnacentral:rRNA from 1 species